AGCAGUGGGGAAUUUUCCGCAAUGGGCGAAAGCCUGACGGAGCAAUACCGCGUGAGGGAUGACGGCCUAUGGGUUGUAAACCUCUUUUUUCAGGGAGGAAUAAAUGACGUGUACCUGAAGAAUAAGCAUCGGCUAACUCCGUGCCAGCAGCCGCGGUAAGACGGAGGAUGCAAGUGUUAUCCGGAAUCACUGGGCGUAAAGCGUCUGUAGGUGGUCAAAUAAGUCAACUGUUAAAUCUUGAGGCUCAACCUCAAAAUCGCAGUCGAAACUAUUAGACUAGAGUAUAGUAGGGGUAAAGGGAAUUUCCAGUGGAGCGGUGAAAUGCGUAGAGAUUGGAAAGAACACCGAUGGCGAAGGCACUUUACUGGGCUAUUACUAACACUGAGAGACGAAAGCUAGGGUAGCAAAUGGGAUUAGAUACCCCAGUAGUCCUAGCCGUAAACAAUGGAUACUAGAUGUUGAACAGAUCGACCUGUGCAGUAUCAAAGCUAACGCGUUAAGUAUCCCG
rnacentral:rRNA from 1 species